rnacentral:rRNA from 1 species
UACGAAGGGUGCAAACGUUGCUCGGAAUUAUUGGGCGUAAAGAGCUCGUAGGCGGUUUGUCACGUCUGCUGUGAAAACUGGAGGCUCAACCUCCAGCCUGCAGUGGGUACGGGCAGACUAGAGUGCGGUAGGGGAGAUUGGAAUUCCUGGUGUAGCGGUGGAAUGCGCAGAUAUCAGGAGGAACACCGGUGGCGAAGGCGGGUCUCUGGGCCGAUACUGACGCUGAGGAGCGAAAGCGUGGGGAGCGAACAGG